AAGACGAAACGAAACGUCAGAAACUCUUUGCAAUGGAUCGGCCAAGCGAUACCCAGUUUGACUACGCAAAAAAGGCAAAACCUUUUUAUUGCGCACACUUGGACAUACCCUCUCCCUGCAAAACAAUAGACUGCAAAGAGAGAGAGAGAGGGGGGGUGGAGAGAGAAACUCCGGUCAAGGGAGCCCAGAAACGCCUGCAAACGUAAGCCUCUCCCUGUAUGCAAAACGAAGAAAAAAACGCAGCCUUUUUAUAUAAUUCUCGCUUUAUCCUGCAACUGGACUCCACUUGGAAUCCAUCCCAUGCAAAUCUGGGUCAUACGCUCCAAGGGUGUCGAUUCAAUGGCCAGUAUCAUCGGAGGGUCGGCAGUGGAAGUCAAAGGGUGUCCGCAAAAUUUAAACUUUCUUCACUAUGCGGAAGAAGGAGAUGCGUAAGGGUCAUAAAAAAAUGCAAUAAAAA